rnacentral:rRNA from 1 species
GAUGAACGCUGGCGGCGUGCCUAAUACAUGCAAGUCGAGCGAACAGAUGAGGAGCUUGCUCCUCUGACGUUAGCGGCGGACGGGUGAGUAACACGUGGAUAACCUACCUAUAAGACUGGGAUAACUUCGGGAAACCGGAGCUAAUACCGGAUAAUAUAUUGAACCGCAUGGUUCAAUAGUGAAAGACGGUUUUGCUGUCACUUAUAGAUGGAUCCGCGCCGCAUUAGCUAGUUGGUAAGGUAACGGCUUACCAAGGCAACGAUGCGUAGCCGACCUGAGAGGGUGAUCGGCACACUGGAACUGAGACACGGUCCAGACUCCUACGGGAGGCAGCAGUAGGGAAUCUUCCGCAAUGGGCGAAAGCUUGACGGAGCAACGCCGCGUGAGUGAUGAAGGUCUUCGGAUCGUAAAACUCUGUUAUUAGGGAAGAACAAAUGUGUAAGUAACUAUGCACGUCUUGACGGUACCUAAUCAGAAAGCCACGGCUAACUACGUG